GAUGAAGAACGUAGCGAAAUGCGAUAAGUAAUGUGAAUUGCAGAAUUCAGUGAAUCAUCGAAUCUUUGAACGCACAUUGCGCCCGCCAGUAUUCUGGCGGGCAUGCCUGUUCGAGCGUCAUUUCAACCAUCAAGCCCUGCUUGCGUUGGGGUCCUGCGGCUGCCCGCAGGCCCUGAAAACCAGUGGCGGGCUCGCUAGUCACACCGAGCGCAGUAAUACAUCUCGCUUUAGGCGUGCGGCGGGUUCUUGCCGUUAAACACCCCCUUUUUACCAAGGUUGACCUCGGAUCAGGUAGGAAUACCCGCUGAACUUAAGCAUAUCAAUAAGCGGAGGA
rnacentral:misc_RNA from 1 species